ACACCUGAGAAACGUACACACACACCACACCGAGCACACCUGAGAAACGUACACACACCACACCGAGCUCACCUGAGAAAUUUGGCUGAACAGCUGAUGUAUCAGGCUGAUAAGCUGCGUGCAAUACUGUCGCACAGGAGUGUAGAGUCUGCCGGUUAAAAACACCAGCGUGUGUGACGAUGCCUCGGGGCUCACCUCUCCGCCCUGAAAGAUCUCUCUUAUCCCCAAAACAUGAGCCGUCCAGACCGGAGGUAAGAACCAAGGACGUCAACAUAUCUACCCCCUCAACCAAUGAGCAGUAAUGUUAUCUGCCCCCUCAACCAAUGAGCAGUAACGUUAUCUGCCCCUCAACCAAUGAGCAGUAACGUUACUGCCAAAGAGAAGCAAGCAGACUUUAAAGUGGCUCUACCCAUGCUGAGAAAAGCUGAGAGCCAGAGAGGGUAAGUAUUUCAUAUCACCGUAAUGAAGUCAUCAGAGGAGUGCAGCUUUGAGUUACACACUUAGCAUUUCAAAUGGGCAGCUGAGAUCAUUUGACUACCUUUUAGUGAUCUUAUUUUGUCACAAGCUUUUUUUUUAGCAAGCUAAAAGCCUAAUUAGCACUGCUAAAUCCUGCGCUAACUACUUUCUGUUGAGUGUGCAGACACUGUCCUUCCGCAGGAGUGUAUGGAAAUGAGUGAACUGAAUACAUGCUGUUCCCACAGAUGGUCAUUUCCUUAUUAAACUUAUCAGAUAACCAUGAGUGCUUUCUCUGAGAGCUCAAAAAGUACAGAUCCCAUGCUGAGCAGGACUGUUACCUGAUGUCCAUACGCCAGACGUGUGUCCAGGUACAUGAGCCAUCAAGACCUCCCAAGCCUUACAUAAGUAUUUUAUCUGUAUAUUAGUUAGUCAGACCAAUAAUCAAGUGUCACAUAUAUAAUACAUAUAGUGUGACAUAUAUAUACACAGUACAGACCAUCCUCCACAGGGAUAUUAAUGUAAUGUCAGAUUUGCAAUCCUAGCAGUAGCAAUCGACCUGCAACAAUGCCUGACUACAACAUGUGACCUACCAACCCUUCAACCUGACUGAGAAGUCCCUGUUUAUUCAGUGGACUGUGUAUGAAGUGGACUGUGUAGGAAAAUAAUGGUCAGACACAUCACAUGCUGUGUCUAGUAACAAAUAAACAUUUGCAUGGUGUCGAGAGGUUUGCAUAGCUCAGCAGGUGGUGCUACAUUAUGGCGUACAUACAGACAGAACCUGGUGGUGCCCUACCUGCCUAUGCUGUUUACUGAAGAGAGAUGAAUGAAAACAUUAUAAUAAAUCCAUUUCAUAACAUCUGA